rnacentral:rRNA from 1 species
AGCAGCCGCGGUAAUUCCAGCUCCAAUAGCGUAUAUUAAAGUUGUUGCAGUUAAAAAGCUCGUAGUUGAAUUUCAGAAUCUGUCCAUCGGUCGGGCUUCACUGUCCGUACUGGUGUGGUGGGUUCUUACCUUCUGAAUAACCAGCAUGCCAUUCACUUGGUGCGUUGGGGAAGCAGGACUAUUACCUUGAAAAAAUUAGAGUGCUCAAAGCAGGCUAGUGCCUGAAUACAUUAGCAUGGAAUAAUAAAAUAGGACGGCAUGGUUCUAUUUUGUUGGUUUCUAGGAUCACCGUAAUGAUUAAUAGGGAUAGUUGGGGGCAUUAGUAUUCAAUUGUCAGAGGUGAAAUUCUUGGAUUUAUUGAAGACUAACUUCUGCGAAAGCAUUUGCCAAGGAUGUUUUCAUUAAUCAAGAACGAAAGUUAGGGGAUCGAAGACGAUCAGAUACCGUCGUAGUCUUAACCAUAAACUAUGCCGACUAGGGAUCGGACGAUGUUAAUUUUUUAAUGACUCGUUCGGCGCCUUACG